rnacentral:rRNA from 1 species
AGGGUUCGAUUCUGGCUCAGAACGAACGCUGGCAGCGUGGAUUAGGCAUGCAAGUCGAACGGGAUCGGGAAGGUAGCAAUAUCGGCCCGUGAGAGUGGCGGAAGGGCGAGGAACACGUGGGCAACCUGCCCUGGAGGCGGGGAAAACCUCGGGAAACCGGGGCUAAUACCGGAUGUAGCGGCCGGGACGCAUGUCCCGGCCGUCAAAGGGGGCCGCAAGGCUCCCCCUCCUGGAGGGGCCCGCGCACCAUCAGCUUGUUGGCGGGGUGACGGCCCACCAAGGCUCACGGUUAGCUGGUCUGAGAGGAUGGCCAGCCGCACUGGGACUGAGAUACUGCCCAGACUCCUACGGGAGGCUGCAGUCGAGGAUCAUUCGCAAUGGGGGAAACCCUGACGAUGCGACGCUGCGUGGAGGAUGGAGGCCUUCGGGUCGUAAACUCCUGUCAUGAGGGAAAAGGCGAGGGGGCCGAACACGCCCCUUAGUUGAUGGUACCUCAAGAGGAACGGGCGGCUAACUCUGUGCCAGCAGCCGC